CCUACGGGGGGCUGCAGUGAGGAAUAUUGGUCAAUGGGCGUGAGCCUGAACCAGCCAAGUAGCGUGAGGGAUGACUGUCCUACGGGUUGUAAACCUCUUUUAUAAAGGAAUAAAGUGAGGCACGUGUCCCUUUUUGUAUGUACUUUAUGAAUAAGGAUCGGCUAACUCCGUGCCAGCAGCCGCGGUAAUACGGAGGAUCCGAGCGUUAUCCGGAUUUAUUGGGUUUAAAGGGAGCGUAGAUGGGCUGUUAAGUCAGUUGUGAAAGUCUGCGGCUCAACCGUAAAAUUGCAAUUGAUACUGGGAGGCUUGAGUAUAGUUGAGGCAGGCGGAAUUCGUGGUGUAGCGGUGAAAUGCUUAGAUAUCACGCAGAACCCCGAUUGCGAAGGCAGCCUGCCAAGC
rnacentral:rRNA from 1 species